AGCACCGUAGCACAGUGGAAGUGCGACAGGCUCAUAACUUGUAGGUCGGCGGAUCGAAACCUCCCGGUGCUA
rfam:Angomonas deanei Cont13403, whole genome shotgun sequence.